rnacentral:rRNA from 1 species
UACGGAGGAUGCAAGCGUUAUCCGGAAUGAUUGGGCGUAAAGCGUCCGCAGGUGGCAAUGUAAGUCUGCUGUCAAAGAAUGAGGCUUAACCUCAUCAAGGCAGUGGAAACUACAUAGCUAGAGUACGGUCGGGGUAGAAGGAAUUCCUGGUGUAGCGGUGAAAUGCGUAGAUAUCUGGAGGAACACCGGUGGCGAAGGCGGCAUCCUGGACCAAUACUGACACUGAGGAGCGAAAGCCAGGGGAGCAAACGGG